rnacentral:rRNA from 1 species
AGAAUCAACGCUGGCGGCGUGCCUAACACAUGCAAGUCGAACGAGAAAGUGGAGCAAUCCAUGGGUAAAGUGGCGCACGGGUGAGUAACACGUGACUAACCUACCCUUGAGUGGGGGAUAACCUAGAGAAAUCUGGGCUAAUACCGCAUAAUACCUUCGGGUCAAAGGAGCAAUUCGCUUAAGGAGGGGGUCGCGGCCGAUUAGUUAGUUGGCGGGGUAAUGGCCCACCAAGACUGUGAUCGGUA